CGCUUGUGUUUUCACAUGCUUGUUGUAGGUCUUCGGGCGCAUCCAUAUCUACCAUUCUGAAAUCAUCUACCAGCAGUCGUAAAACAAACCAAUUCAUGACUCAAACAUAUCCCUGAGAAAGAAAUAUCAAACCAGUUAGCUAUCUAUAUGAUCAGCGACCUUGACGUCAGCGGCAUGGCUUUGCGUGACGAUACAUCUCCCUCUGGUAGUAUGAUAGACAAUGAAGGAUAAAACUUAAAUAAAGAUUGCUGUUGUAUCUUAUAUAUAAAAAAGAGAUCGGUGGUGUUAGUUCUAGAGAAAAAGUAAGUAAAGUACGCAUCAGAUUCAAUGUUUUUUACCUUGAGCUUGAUUUACUUUUUUUGAGAUGCACAUGAUUGAAGAGAUUGCUGAUUCUUGAGAUUCACAUAGCUUGUUGAACUAUUGAUACGUUAAGUUGGGCUACAAAAUCUUUUUGAUAGAUAAUUCUAAUUUUGCACGCAGAUACAUGAUGUGAAAUCAGAUAUGUCUAGACACAACUCUAUAAUUGGAUGUAUGAAGCAAUCACAAAAAAGAACCGUUCAGAACUAAUGGUGUGUCCUGUGUGACUGUGGUUGGGGCUUCAGCAUGCACAUCCUCUUUCUACAGAAUCACUCUUAGCUCCUCCAUGCAGCAGCCUCGGUGAUGAGCUUCAAUCCGAUCAUAACUAAGUAUGUAGUUCCUGCUGGAUCCAUUCUUACCUGCGGUGCUGCUUGAAGGGUUUGAUGCAACGACGCUGGAUGUUGCUUGAGCCUAAGCCGACACCCUUGGAUCUGUUAGUAGUCUGCUUGGAAGCAGCGAUUAUAUAGAGUUCAAAAAAAUAACAACAGAUUAAAGUGUAAACCGGCAAGAAAACGAACCUGUUCUAGACGAGGAAUUUAUUUGAUCUAAUGAACUCCUUAAGCACACUGAAUCCAUAUGCCCGAGCUUACUUUGUUUUCCACUGGAUGGAGAGGGAGAGAGAGAUAAUGGAGAUGAGGAACGGGCCUUGGAUGGAUUGGAUCUGUUGUACAUGUGAAAGAGAUAUAGAUUAUGUAGAAGAUAGGAAGAGUUCGUGAAGGG
rnacentral:lncRNA from 1 species